rnacentral:rRNA from 1 species
UACGUAGGUGACCAGCGUUGUCCGGAUUUACUGGGCGUAAAGAGCGCGCAGGCGGUCGUUCAAGUCGAGUGUGAAAGCCCCCGGCUCAACUGGGGAGGGUCACUCGAUACCGAUCGACUUGAAGGCAGGAGAGGGAAGCGGAAUUCCCGGUGUAGUGGUGAAAUGCGUAGAUAUCGGGAGGAACACCAGUGGCGAAGGCGGCUUCCUGGCCUGUUCUUGACGCUGAGGCGCGAAAGCUAGGGGAGCAAACGGG